UACGAACCGUGCGAACGUUAUUCGGAAUCACUGGGCUUAAAGCGCGUGUAGGCGGGUCGGCACGUCGGUCGCUGAAAUCCCCCGGCUCAACCGGGGAACGGGCGCCGAUACGACCGCCCUGGAGGGGCGUAGGGGGACCUGGAACUUCCGGUGGAGCGGUGAAAUGCGUUGAGAUCGGAAGGAACGCCCGUGGCGAAAGCGAGGUCCUGGACGCCUACUGACGCUGAGACGCGAAAGCCAGGGGAGCGAACGGG
rnacentral:rRNA from 1 species